AUUUAACUUCUCUCAUACAGCACCCUGAAUGAUAGAAAGAAACAAAAAAAGUUCUCGUGUUUGAACAAGUUUUGUUUUGAGCUAUAUCAUGGCUGCUUGUGAAGUAUUAUUUUGCGUGUUUUAUUUAAUUCAGUGAUCUGCAGCCUAAUUAAAGUUUAAAUUUUUGAAGCACGCAUUUUUAAAUAAGUAAAACGUAAAAUAAAAGUUUUCUAAAGCCAAAAUAUGGAAUUGAAGAGGGUGAUACAGAAAUACUUCAUUGCACUGUCAAUUCGAAGCACGCAAUCGAAGCUACGCCAACAAUGGUCAACAUCAAUGGCGAAACCAUUUAAUACAUAUUUCAAACCUCAUAUGGCGCGUUAAAGGUACGCAAACUUAUUGGUGUCACUUAUUGUAGCAGCGUAGAACUUUCGAAGCGAUGGAAUAUGUGCUGCAAGCAAAUCCAAAACUAUGGACGCAAACGCUGCUACAUGGAACACAAAUCAUUCACACACCAGAUAUUACGUUUAAUGUCACUUUUUUGCGUGCAAUUAAACGUUUUGGUCAACACAAGCACGAGAAUUGGAACGACAUGGCGUGUGUCAACUGGGUUUUGCCAAUGAGCUAGAGGACAAAGCAGUUUCAGUAUUUUUGGGCUUAUCGGCACUUGGCCGUGCCAUUAGCAGCUAAAACACAGAAAUUAAAGGGAGGACUUUUUUGAUUCAUUUUCACCUAGUAUUGAGGAACCAUAACGUUGUUGUAUCGCUUUACAAGGACAUAAAUUCACCGAAAUUAGUUCAAUGGAAAUACUACAUGGUGCAUGGUGUUAAGACUUGAACGGUGCCGUGUUAGAUUUAGAAUUCCUGAGAAACCCUCCUCCCAGAUGAAUCUAGUACUAGUGAAAUUAAUGAAAGAACAGAUCUUAUUAAAACUCCGAAAUAAACCAAAAGAGUCCUCACAUAAUGUGCGCAGCUUACACUUCCAGACCGCACGGGGUAUUUGACAUUUUCCACUCUUCCUCCAGCCUUUGUCGGAUAGCAAAAAUUGUUCAAAUAUUCAUUUUCACCUACUUUAUACAUAUGUAUAUAGUGUAGUACGAUAAUAUAUGUAUAAAGUAAAUAUAAUAAUAAACAACUAAA